rnacentral:rRNA from 1 species
ACGGAAGGCAGCAGUGGGGAAUAUUGGGCAAUGGGGGAAACCCUGACCCAGCAACGCCGCGUGAAGGAAGAAGGCCUUCGGGUUGUAAACUUCUUUUACCAGGGACGAAGAAAGUGACGGUACCUGGAGAAAAAGCAACGGCUAACUACGUGCCAGCAGCCGCGGUAAUACGUAGGGGGCAAGCGUUAUCCGGAUUUACUGGGUGUAAAGGGAGCGUAGACGGCUUAGCAAGUCUGAUGUGAAAGGCAGGGGCUCAACUCCUGGACUGCAUUGGAAACUGUUAAGCUAGAGUGCCGGAGAGGUAAGCGGAAUUCCUAGUGUAGCGGUGAAAUGCGUAGAUAUUAGGAGGAACACCAGUGGCGAAGGCGGCUUACUGGACGGUAACUGACGUUGAGGCUCGAAAGCGUGGGGAGCAAACAGGAUUAGAUACCCUGGUA